ACUUUUUCUUUUCAUUUAAUUGUUUAGCUAAAUUCACUAAACAAAUUGUGUAAAUCAAACUACAACAUUAUGACUGAAUUCACAAUUUUUUUACAUGUACAUAUACAUACAUAAAUAUAACCAUGUUACACAAGGCACUUGCACAAGGAAAGGGAAAAAAAUUACAAAAAUCCAUUAAUACACAAGUUGUGUCCACAAGCAAAGGAGCAUUCCCAUAUUAGCAUCAUCAUCUUGCUGUAAGUGACCAAUGAAAGAUGGCAUACUUAAAAUCCAAACUUCAAUGGCCCUAGUAUCUCCCAUGCUUCUUCGGUAAUGGCUCUGCUUGUUCUUCAUUCUAAAAACACACCGUAAAAGAUUCCAUGUCAAUUAGAGAACAAAUAAAAUUUUGUUGAAAAAGGGUUAACUAGCCUUCCAUUCUAUUUAAAAGGAGGUAAAUAGGACCAUCUAUUAUUGCCAACAAAAUCAAAAUGAAGAUGCAAAACUAGUUCAUAUUUGAACCAUCUUCUUUGGCAUCAGCUGAAUUACAUUACAUCUAUAUUAAUAAAAUCAAAAUGAAGAUGCAAAACCAGUUCAAAUUUGAACCAUCUUCUUUGGCAUCAGCUGAAUUACAGUACAUCUAUAUUAAUAAAACCUGCAACAAAAUUACAACAAAACCCUAUGUUUCAUAAUACAAAUUCUCCAACCUAUGAACCUGUAAACCAAGAUUACAAUUGAACAAAGUCGAUAUAACUUUUCACAACCUAAUCAGCCAUCUUGUACACAUCACUUCUGUGAAAGAUUAUACUUCAACUGAACAGAUAAAGGUUCAAUUACUUUGCAUCAUAUAAACCAAUCUUACAAGCCGAUUAGUGCAUGAGAAAACACACAUGAAAAUUUUAUACAAUCACAAUUGGUUAGAAAAUAUCAUAGGUUUAUUUGCUCACAUAUCGUAAUCGUCCCCAUUUGAAAUAGAAGCAAUACUGUGAAAAGGAACUUCUUAAUGCCCAUUGCUAGAGCUAAAGGAAGACCUACUUGCUCUCAUACUUUGGGUCAUGGAUACCAGUGUGUCAAUGUGCAUUUGAUAAGAAUCUGCAAGACUAAAACCAAGGAUUCUCUGCUCGUUCCUUUCUGCUCCUCAAUUAUAUGAGAACUACAGGAAAUGUUGAUUUCUGGGUAGGGAUUACACCACUCAGGC
rnacentral:lncRNA from 1 species